GUGAGGAAUUUUCCGCAAUGGGCGAAAGCCUGACGGAGCAAUGCCGCGUGAAGGAUGAAGGCCUAUGGGUUGUAAACUUCUUUUCUCAGAAAAGAAUUAUGACGGUAUCUGAGGAAUAAGCAUCGGCUAACUCUGUGUCAGCAGCCGCGGUAAGACAGAGGAUGCAAGCGUUAUCCGCAAUGAUUGGGCGUAAAGCGUCUGUAGGUUGUUUAAAAAGUAUUCUGUCAAAGAUUAGGGCUUAACCCUAGAUAGGCAGAAUAAACUUUUAAGCUAGAGUUUGGUAGAGGCAGAGGGAAUUCCCGGUGGAGCGGUGAAAUGCGUAGAUAUCGGGAGGAACACCAAAGGCGAAGGCACUCUGCUGGGCCAAUACUAACACUGAGAGACGAAAGCGAGGGGAGCAAAUGGGAUUAGAAACCCGUGUAGUCC
rnacentral:rRNA from 1 species